GCAAUUGGGGCGUCGCAGGCGCGCUCUCGCUGCUGCUGCUGGCGAUCUCGGGGAUCCUGUUCCUGCUGUUGCA
rnacentral:tRNA from 1 species